CUCUCCUUAGAUAGAACUGAGGUAUUCCCCUUGGCAUGUGCUGGGGCUUGGACUGGAGUCAGCUGACCCGUCUAGGGAGUGUAGCUCUGGUAUCCAUCAGUGAGGUGGCACUGGGCUGGGGCUUGGACUGGAGUCAGCUGACACGUCUAGGGAGUGUAGCUCUGGUAUCCAUCAGUGAGGUGGCACUGGGCUGGGGCUUGGACUGGAGUCAGCUGACACGUCUAGGGAGUGUAGCUCUGGUAUCCAUCAGUGAGGUGGCACUGGGCUGGGGCUUGGACUGGAGUCAGCUGACACGUCUAGGGAGUGUAGCUCUGGUAUCCAUCAGUGAGGUGGCACUGGGCUGGGGCUUGGACUGGAGUCAGCUGACACGUCUAGGGAGUGUAGCUCUGGUAUCCAUCAGUGAGGUGGCACUGGGCUGGGGCUUGGACUGGAGUCAGCUGACACGUCUAGGGAGUGUAGCUCUGGUAUCCAUCAGUGAGGUGGCACUGGGCUGGGGCUUGGACUGGAGUCAGCUGACACGUCUAGGGAGUGUAGCUCUGGUAUCCAUCAGUGAGGUGGCACUGGGCUGGGGCUUGGACUGGAGUCUGCUCACACGUCUAGGGAGUGUAGCUCUGGUAUCCCAUCAGUGAGGUGGCACUGGGCUGGGGCUCCGUUUGAAACGCCACUACUUCAUAUUGAUCUGCGUAGGUUAGAUGGUGAUACACCAUAGCGUGUAUUUAGCGGUCCUUGUUGCUCCGGCCUGAUUUUCGCCAUGUUACUUGUCCAAUACUUUCAUAUCUACACAAUAAGUGAGGUUGACUGGUACUGGGAGUAGAAUGUACCAACUUAGGGGUUGAUUUUAGAACAGAACAAGGGCCUGGUAUUUCUGUGAGGUGAACAGAA